CAGCAGCCGCGGUAAUACAGAGGGUGCGAGCGUUAAUCGGAUUUACUGGGCGUAAAGCGUGCGUAGGCGGCUUCUUAAGUCGGAUGUGAAAUCCCUGAGCUUAACUUAGGAAUUGCAUUCGAUACUGGGAAGCUAGAGUAUGGGAGAGGAUGGUAGAAUUCCAGGUGUAGCGGUGAAAUGCGUAGAGAUCUGGAGGAAUACCGAUGGCGAAGGCAGCCAUCUGGCCUAAUACUGACGCUGAGGUACGAAAGCAUGGGGAGCAAACAGGAUUAGAUACCCCUGUAGUCCAUGUCUCUUAUAA
rnacentral:rRNA from 1 species